CUUCUAUCUUUUCUGUGAAUACAUCCUUAUUUGCAAGACUGCUUUCACAGAAUACUUGCGUGCGCAGAAAGACAAGCUUAACAAAUAUUUGAAGAGAUGAUUUCAUUAUGCAUUUUGCAGAGCAGUAUUUUCUGCCAUCCUUGGACUAGUGCCUGCAGGCUGACUCACCAGAAUGAAAUCUAGGCAAGCCUGCAGUUACAUAUCUGGAAAGAUCCCAUCAGUCAGGGGCAGCGAAGCCAUCAGGAGUUUUGCCAUUCACUUACCGGCAACCCGUGGACUUUGAAAGACAUUUCUUAAGUUCUCAAAAACUCUUGGGUGCAGCCAGUUAAAUAGCUCAUUCCUUUGCCAGCCGUAGCCCCUUUGCUGUUAAUCCCAGUUAUAAAUGAUUUGUUUUACUGAAAUUCAAAUGAAGAUUUGAAUCUGUUUCCUGUUCAUACACACAAACUUAAGACAGAUAUUUGGCUGUAGCCAGAGUUCAUACAGCCUCCUGGGGGCUAUGUGAGUUUGGUGUGAGUCAUAGUUCGCUGACAUUCAGCAUGAAAAGAAAAAUUCUAAAAGUCUAACCAAGUCUGCUGGUCAUUGGGAAGUUUGUAAACUUGUCAGCCUUGUUUGGAAGCUGUUUUCCCUAUUGUGGUUUGCAACUGCAAUUAUGUAAAAAGUGAUGCAAGAUGUGGCCACAGGCACUAUGAAAUGCUCUAUCUGCUUUCUGUGAAGAUCAGCUGAACAAGUUAGGUUAUGAAUAGAAACAAAAUAUUGCUGGUUCAGGAAAAAAAUAAACAGACAAACAAUGAAAAAACAACCAACCACCACAGAGUCAUUUCCAGCUACCUUUCAUCUAUUUUUCAUUCAGGAUAAAGUGCCUGUCACUGCAGUGCUGCCAUGUAGUGUGAAGCAUUAGAUAGCCAGGAAACAGUUUCAAAGCAAAGACAUAAUUCACAGGUCUGAAAUUUUAUGUGGCGAUGAAUCCCAAAGAAAAUGGAGCGUCAGCUGAUCCGAGGCAGCAGGUGUCAGCAUGCCAUCAGUUGUUACGAACCCUCCUGCUGUCAGUAGACUUCAAACCUUCUUCUGCAUGUCUUGAAUUCUAAAGAAAUGACCAAAGGGAAGAGAGUUUUCCAUUUAUAGGGAAGAAGUGAGCUUGGGAAUUUUCAGUACUUCUAUAAGAAAGAAGAAAGCCUGGCUUUACUUCCUCCGAAAUUGCCACAUGGCGUUCAUUGUUCCGUGCAGCCUCAGAAACACCUGUGCUCUAUGGCCAACACACGCGAUUCAGCACUCUCAGUGGAACCAAAACAAUGAAGAUUAAACAAUUAAAUUGUACUUUCAGAUAUAAAUAAGGCUUAUCUUGGCUACCAAGAGUAGCCAAGAGUACAAAGAGUUCUGAUAUCAAAAUGAAAAUCUGAAAGUAUCUAAUCUAUUUUUCCUACUUUAUUUUCUAGUCUACUCCUUGAAUUCUAUUAAAAUUGGUUAUCUGAA